GUCUAGGAUGGGUGUAUGGCACGGCUAGGAAGGUUUGGGGUCAGAAAAUAUGGAUUUGGGUGAAGGUUGGGCACGGCAAGAGGUGAGAGAUGAAAUCUGGCGUGAAUGGGACUGAAUGGGUGUGUGAGGAAUUUUUUGUGGCUGCAACAAGGAGGUUUAUUUAAAGGAAAACAGAAAUUAAAACCCUAGGUUGAUUAGGAAAUCAGAAAUUAAGUCUAAGGAUUCUAGAAUUAGGAAAAAAAUCAGAAAAUAAAAGGAAAGGUCAAGGAAAUAUGCGGCUAGGGUUUAAAACAUAUUAGGAAUGUGUUUUAAUGUUCAAAAUCAGGAAAGGACCCUCUCCCUUGCACGGCAAGGAAGAGGAAGUUGUGGAAAGGGUAUGUGAGGUGCGGCAAGGGUUGAUAUGGUGGAAGGGAGGUGUAUUUGAUGUCCUAAAAUGCUUAGGAGGCCUUCAAAGUUGAUAAGACUUAGGAACAUUUAGGAAAGGUCAAACCAAAGUAGGAAACCUUGGCUUAACUUUCCUAUUUCGAGUAGGAAUCCUUCUUGGAGUAGGAAUCCUUGUUCUUCUAGGAAUCCUCAUGUAAGUAGGAAUCCAUCUUCAAUUAGGAAUCCUCAAAUAAGUAGGAAUCCAUCUUCAAGUAGGAAUCCUCAAAUAAGUAGCAAUCCAUCUUCAGUUGGGAAUCCUUUAAUGAUUAGGAAUCCUUCUUGGAUUAGGAAACCAACUUUCUUCAAGACUUCAAUUCAUCCAUUCCUUUUGCUCCAAAAGGCUCCAUUUUGCUUCUUUUUGCACACUUUGACCUUAGAACCUGAAAACACGUAAAACUAGCUUAAAAGACUACUUUAACUAAGAAAACACCAUGGAAAUGCAUAAGAACUAGCUAACUAAGGCGCAUAAAUAUGCUCCUAUCAGGGUCUAAUCAAGGUUAAGAGGAGGUCUUCGUCUGGCUACAAGACGUUAAAGCAAGCGAUUCUUGGGAGGCAACCCAUGCAUUCAGCAAAAGAACGAUGGAAUUCUCACUCCAAACUCAGAUUUGUGUUCCUAAACCCUUCUCUUUACUGUUUUAUUUUGCUAUGUUGUUCGUUGUUUGUUUGCUUUUGUGUGAGUCUAUGUGUGAAACAUUGAGGACAAUGUUUGAUUUAAGUGUGGGGGGGGGGGGUAACCAAGCUGUUUUUGCAUGAUUUUCAUGGGAUUUAUUCACCUAUCACUUCUAUGUUGUUCCUUACUGUUUUUAAGUGUUUUUAGUGCAUUUUGAUGUGAAAAUUAUGUUGACACACAAAUUAAACCCUAUUUGUGACAAUUGUAGUAAUGAUGUAAGUAGGGAUCGUUCUAACCGGGGAUUAACUAGGGGCACUAAUCACUUGAAAACUGACUUAGAAACGCAAAAACAAAGUUUAAAACACUAGAUUAGACUCAAAGAAUGCAAAACUAACGUUUAAAAUACUAAAACAAACCAAAAACUCAAAACAGCAACUAAAGGACUCAAAACUGCCUUAAAAACACUUUUUGGGCAGUUUUGAACACAAGGCACCAAAUUGGACGAAUUUGGGUUUUAACUUGUACCAAAACACUUAAAAACAUAAACCAACACACUUUCUAACUAAUCUAGGACUUCAAAAUAAAUGGGGAUUUGAUUUGGACGAAAAUAAACUAAAAGGACAGAUUGUAAAGAAAACAGAUUGUAAGACAAAAUUGUGAUGAAUCAAUGGAUGAUGGAAUAGCUAAGGGGUUCUUCUCCACACAUGAAAUAUAUGCAACCUAAAUCGAUUUCCAGUUAUCAAAUUAAUAAGUUAUGAAUCUCGACACUCCAAGUUAAUUAGGUCCGCUUAAAUUAACCUUCAGAUUUCCCUAGAAUCA
rnacentral:lncRNA from 1 species